GCAUCUCUAUAAUGAUGGAGGACCUCUGGACUUAAUAUUUAGUGAAAAAUUUAAGUUUAGGUCUCUUCUAAAUUAGCAGAUAUAACAUCCAACUGAUCAAAUUUAAGUUAGCACAUCCAUAUAUCUAACCAGCAUAGUUGGCAUAGGUGAACUCGAGUCAACAAGUUACCUAGCAUGAAAUUGAAUAUCCCAAGAUGGCC
rnacentral:lncRNA from 1 species